CUCACACUCACACUCAAAAGUCAUCCAAGCAGGCGGCCCCGCGUGAAACAAGUUGGUGACUGGUGAAAAAUUGGUUAUCCUAAAUGGGAACGGAAAGUUACUCACUCGGAAAAUCAACUUCUGCCAACCGGCCCUUUCCAGGGCGCUGUUGGACACCGAGCAGACAGGUCCAAAUCCGGAGUCCGCAAUAGUGUGAAACGACAAAACGGCAACGAGGACGGCUACGGAAAGUGACAUUUGAGCUGGAAUGGCGGAAACCACGAUGAGAGAUUUUGGGUUUUAUAGCGUGGCCCCGUGUGGCUUUUGGACGUUUUACGAUGAUUGUUAAAGAUUCUGCUGGCAGGAUCUUAGCAAUCGCUGGGCAUCAGCAGCAGCACCUUCAACUCUUCCUCUUCGUGGAGAGUUACUUCGCAUUGGCGUUAUUCCACUUCUUCUUCUUCUGGGGAGGGAAUAAAGUGAAUCACUUGGCGUUACAUUUGCCUCGUGGAUUUUGCUUUGGUGGA